rnacentral:lncRNA from 1 species
GGGGACAUGGGGGAAAUUUCUCUUCAAAGGUUGAGUGGUGCCAAUCACAUUAGUUGUGAAGCCCAAUAACGAUCCUUUGAAGAAGUCACGAAUAAUGCGAGUGGGAUGCAAAUGAAUGGAAUGCAUGUAUGCAAUGUGAGGAUAUGAGUUUGAAAAAAGUAAUAAAAAACAAUAAAUAUGUAAAUGAAAAUGUGCACGUGAGUGGGCAAGGUACGGUAUGUGAAAUGAUAAUAUGAAGUACAUGUGUGCAAGUGAUGAUAAAAGUGUUCGUGUGCAAGUGAAGAAACAUAAAGGUGCACGUGUGCAAGAUAGGAGGAAAAAAUGAAAGUGUGAUAAGAGUAUAAAAAUGGUAGAGUGGAUGCAUGAUCCUAGGGAAUGUAUGCAUAUUGGGUACGGGGAGACCUAAAUCGUGACUCAAUUUGCCCUUUUAUAGAGAGGAUACAAGCGUGCUAAGGCUUUAGAAAAAGCCACACUCGUCUAUAUCCCGUAUUUAAGGGGACUCUCCAGGCAAAUGAACCCUAUAACUAGUAUGAGAUGCAAACAUCCUAAAAUGAGGGGAAAAGGGGUUCGAGGAGCAUGCCAAAUGAUAAAACUAAGAAAAAUGCAUGACAUGUAGUGAACAUGCAAAUAUGCACUAUCGAAAGGGAAAUCCUAAGGGUCUAGCGUUGGACUAGCCCAUCUAUGAAUUCCGACUAGCGUUGGACUAGCGGAAACGUACAUUCAUCCAUCACAUUCAUUCAUGGUUAUGGAAAGCGAGUAGACAUGCCAAACACUCGUAAACACGUAGCACAU